rnacentral:rRNA from 1 species
UACAGAGGGUGCAAGCGUUAAUCGGAAUUACUGGGCGUAAAGCGUGCGUAGGCGGUAGCGUAAGUCGGGUGUGAAAGCCCCGGGCUCAACCUGGGAAUUGCAUUCGAGACUGCUCUGCUAGGGUGCGGAAGAGGGAAGCGGAAUUUCCGGUGUAGCGGUGAAAUGCGUAGAUAUCGGAAGGAACACCAGUGGCGAAAGCGGCUUCCUGGUCCAGCACCGACGUUCAGGCACGAAAGCGUGGGGAGCAAACAGG